rnacentral:rRNA from 1 species
GAUGAACGCUGGCGGCGUGCCUAAUACAUGCAAGUCGAGCGAACGGACGAGAAGCUUGCUUCUCUGAUGUUAGCGGCGGACGGGUGAGUAACACGUGGAUAACCUACCUAUAAGACUGGGAUAACUUCGGGAAACCGGAGCUAAUACCGGACGAUAUUUUGAACCGCAUGGUUCAAAAGUGAAAGACGGUCUUGCUGUCACUUAUAGAUGGAUCCGCGCUGCAUUAGCUAGUUGGUAAGGUAACGGCUUACCAAGGCAACGAUGCAUAGCCGACCUGAGAGGGUGAUCGGCCACACUGGAACUGAGACGCGGUCCAGACUCCUACGGGAGGCAGCAGUAGGGAAUCUUCCGCAAUGGGCGAAAGCCUGACGGAGCAACGCCGCGUGAGUGAUGAAGGUCUUCGGAUCGUAAAACUCUGUUAUUAGGGAAGAACAUAUGUGUAAGUAACUGUGCACAUCUUGACGGUACCUAAUCAGAAAGCCACGGCUAACUACGUG